rnacentral:rRNA from 1 species
AAGAAACCAACAGGGAUUGCCCCAGUAGCGGCGAGUGAAGCGGCAAGAGCUCAGAUUUGAAAUCGUGUUUCGGCACGAGUUGUAGAGUGUAGGCGGGAGUCUCUGUGGAGCGCGGUGUCCAAGUCCCUUGGAACAGGGUGCCUGAGAGGGUGAGAGCCCCGUAGGGUGCUGCGCGAAGCUUUUGAGGCCCUGCUGACGAGUCGAGUUGUUUGGGAAUGCAGCUCCAAGCGGGUGGUAAAUUCCAUCUAAGGCUAAAUAUUGGCGAGAGACCGAUAGCGAACAAGUACUGUGAAGGAAAGAUGAAAAGCACUUUGAAAAGAGAGUGAAACAGCACGCGAAAUUGUUGAAAGGGAAGGGUAUUGGGCUCGACAUGGGGGGUGCGCACCGCUGUCUCUUGUAGGCGGCGCUCUGGGCGCCCUCUGGGCCAGCAUCGGUUCCUGCUGCGGGAGAAGGGGCUCCGGAAAGUGGCUCUUCGGAGUGUUAUAGCCGGGGCCAGAUGCCGCGUGUGGGGACCGAGGACUGCGGCUUCUGUCUCGGAUGCUGGCAUAACGGCGCAAUACCGCCCGUCUCGAAACACGGACC